UAGUCCACGCUGUAAACGAUGUCGACUAGCCGUUGGGCUCAUUUAAGGGUUUAGUGGCGCAGCAAACGCGAUAAGUCGACCGCCUGGGGAGUACGGCCGCAAGGUUAAAACUCAAAGGAAUUGACGGGGCCCGCACAAGCGGUGGAGCAUGUGGUUUAAUUCGAUGCAACGCGAAGAACCUUACCAGCCCUUGACAUCCUCGGAAUCCAGCGGAGACGUUGGAGUGCCUUCGGGAGCCGAGUGACAGGUGCUGCAUGGCUGUCGUCAGCUCGUGUCGUGAGAUGUUGGGUUAAGUCCCGUAACGAGCGCAACCCUUGUCCUUAGUUGCCAGCACCUCGGGUGGGAACUCUAAGGAGACUGCCGGUGAUAAACCGGGAGGAAGGUGGGGAUGACGUCAAGUCAUCAUGGGCCCUUAUGGGGCUGGGGCUACACACGUGCUACAAUGGGUCGGUACAGAGGGGCAGGCGAAGCGGGCGACGCGGGAGCC
rnacentral:rRNA from 1 species